CCCUUUAAGAAAUAAGCGUUCGCACAACGUGAGAGAGAGAAGUGCACAUCAACCGACAGAGAACUGAGUUAAAGCGUUGCACAAAGAAAUGGUUGGUAAAACUGUUAAAAGGAGAUAAAUCCCAGUUUAUAUCUACUCGUCAAUGUGUGGGUACAUGGUUUCAUUUGACGAUCACAAAGGAGUUGCCUUAUUGCACGUGAGAGAUCGCCAGUGGGGGAAGGGAAAAUUGGACCACGUUAAUGGAGAUCGAGCAGGGGAGAGCAACGAAAAGUGAGAUCGAGUGUUAAUGACCAUGUGAGCUUUUGCUGUGUGCUUCGUGGAAUCAGUCGGAAAGACGACCUAGAGGACCAUCUUUGUGCUUGUACCCCAGCCAAUAAGUCCACUCAAUAAAACACAAAUGUUCUUUAAGAAAUUUCUCUGUCCUGUUUCCUCUCAGUCGCCAAUUUUGGCUUUUGCAUGUUAACCAGGCUCUCUCAAUAUUUUGUGUGUGUUCUCCAUGGUUUGGAUCAACGAAGUAUCUGCUGUGGUUUACUGAGUAGUGAUUGUAUCCAAGAUUCGGUAAAGCUCUGUAGGAUCUCCACUCAUUGCUUAAAAUGGUUGAGCCUUGGCGAACAUGUUGUCUAAUUAUGGGAAGCAUGUGAUUUCUGGAGCACCACUCUACAAGUCGCAAAACUGGCCGUCUUCUUUGUCCUUUUAUGGCGAGCAUGCCAAAGACCCACUUCCAUAUCUGUCCAGCUCUUCCUUGCCCAUACUACAAUUACAAAAACAGUUUCAAUAACUUGCCCUCCAAAGUACACAUCACAAUUUUGUUUCACUAAAGCAUCAUUAGCCAACUAUAGUUGUACAUUUCAUUACCAACUGUUGAGAGAUUAUUGUUUAUCUGCACAAUAAUUUGGUAAAUUUUGGUAACAUUUACAAAAUAAAUAAGCUAACAUGUAGUACUUUAUGUUCCAUAUUUAUUUGCAACGGUGCUGCACCAGUCAUGAUUGUCACCAAGCCAGCAGAGGGAGCUCUUACCUCUGGGUGAUCUGUGAUCACUCCCUCUGCUGCUACUUCCUGUUUGUGGACUAUAAAUACUGUUGUAGGCCCCUCACCUGCAGGUUGCAUUGUUCGCCUGUACUAUUGUUGUUUUCCGAGUUCUUGUUUCCCUGGUUUUGACCCUGCCUGUCUUCUGAUUCUCUGAUUGUUUGCUGCCUGACCUGACCACCGCCUGUUUUUGGAUUUUGUUUCUGCCUCGUCUCCGAUACUCCUGUUUGCCCUGUUAGACGCCUGCUUGUUAUGACCAUGCCGUUGUUCAAUAAAAGCCUGUACAUGGA